CUCGUCCACGCAUGCGCAGGGUAACGCCCCCCUCUCCGGUGCAGCAGGCAGCAGGUGAUGCCUGUAAAGAUCGCUGACCCUGUGUUGCCUCCUGACCCCAUCUUUUGAACGCCAACGCACAACACACACAUGAACACCGGUUCCAUAAGGAGGAUUUCAAAAGAUGGUUUAACUUGAGCCAGACCGUACAACUCGGAUAGUGAUCUUCUCUUCCAUGCAAGAUUUCUCACAUGACCAGACUGGUGCUUCAAGACCAUUCCCUGUAAACACGUUUUGACUCCACUUACAAACCAAGUGUCUGCUGGUCGACGCUGGUCCUGUGGCCCUGUCCGUACAGAUCCUGCAGCUGAGGUGUUUGUUACCUCCUGUAUUCAACAAUGGGACUAGAAGAGAAAUGAGAAGAAAGCCCAAUGAGAGGUGGCGUUUGCCUCCACGACUGUACAACAUGGCCGCUGUUUGAUUAAGGUGAAGGACAGGAUACUGGUGAAGGGCCGGAGAUGGAGCGGCUUAUUCCAGGGUCUAUUAACCAGGUGUGCAUCAUUACCAUGA